rnacentral:pre_miRNA from 1 species
UAUAAGGGAUUUUGAAUUUUUGCUUGCAACGUUUAACCACUCGUCUUAUUUAAAAUAUUUUAAAAUUAUUAUUUAUUUUAUUUGUGACUUACUUUAUUAUCUAUAGUACUUUAACCAUAACUUUUUAUGUUUUAUAUUUGCAAAAAAGAAUUUAAAUAAGACGAGUGGUCAAACGUUGCGAAUAAAAACUCA